CUGGCGGCGGAGGUGUGAGGGGGGGGCUCGGGAUUUUGGGGCAAAAAAAUGGAAAUUUGGGAAUUUUCUGAGGGGAAAAAGGGAUCCCCAAGCUCUAAAUUCAAGCUUUUUGGGGAAAUUUGAGGGAGAAAGUGAGUUGGGGUUUUUUUUUUUGAGGAAAAAGAAGGGAUUUUGGGAUUUUUUUCUGAGGGGAUAAAGGGGGUCCCCAAGCUCUAAAUGCAAAACUUCUGGGAAAUUUUGAGGGAGAAAGAUGGUCCCAAUGCAUUAAUAAAUUUUUUUGAGGAAAAAAAGGGAAUUUGGGAAUUUUUUUGAGGGGAAAAAAGUGUCCCCAGGCUCUAAAUCUCAAUGGUUUAAGGAAAUUUGAGGGAAAAAGGGGGUCCCAGUGCAUUAAUUGGGGAUUUUUUGGGUGAAAAAAGGUGAAUUUGGGAUUUUUUCUGAGGGGAAAAAGGGGUCCCCAAGCUCUAAAUCCAAACUUUUGGAGGAAAAUUUGAGGGAAAAAGGAGUCCCAGAACCUUGUUGAGGUGAAAAAUGAGGGAAAAAAAGGGAUUUCUGGAGCCUUUUUGAGGAAAAAUUUGAGGGAAAAAUGUGAAUUUCAAAUCCUGAAUUCCCUUUUUGGGGGAAAAUUGAGGGGGAAAAGGGGUCACAGAAAGAAUUGUGGUGGAUUUUAGACGCUUUUUGUAAAUUUUGAUCAUUUUAAUGCCAUUUUUGACUCAUUUAAAACACUUCAAUGUCACUUUUGGUCACUUUACUGUAACUUUUGAUCACUUUAAUGCCAUUUUUGACCCUUUUAAGGCACUUCAAUGUCACUUUUGGUCACUUUGAUGCCAUUUUUUAUAAUUUUUGGCCACUUUAAUGCCAUUUUUUGUCACUUUAGGUCACUUUAAUGCCAUUUUUUGUCACUUUUGGCCACUUUAAUGCCAUUUUUUGUCACUUUUGGUCACUUUAAUGCCAUUUUUUGUCACUUUAAUGCCAUUUUUUGUCACUUUAAUGCCAUUUUUUUGACACUUUUGGUCACUUUAAUGCCAUUUUUGCUCACUUUAGGACACUUCAAUGUAACUUUUUCUCCAUUUUUGUAACUUUGCCUCCCUGUACCCCAAUUUUGGGCGGAUUUCAGACACUUUUGGGUCAUUUCUCUCAGUUUUGGGUGGUUUCAGGUGGGUUUCACUCCAUUUUGGGUGGGUUUAUCUCAAUUUUGGUUCAUUUUCUGUCACUUUCACUCCAUUUUGGGUGGGUUUCUCUCAAUUUUGGGUGGAUUUCUCUCAAUUUCAGUUCAUUUUCUUUUACUUUUACUCCAUGUUGGGUGGGUUUCUCUCA
rnacentral:lncRNA from 1 species